AACGAACGCUGGCGGCAGGCUUAACACAUGCAAGUCGAACGGAUCCUUCGGGAUUAUUGGCAGACGGGUUAGUAACGCGUGGUAACGUACCCUUUGCUACGGAAUAACUCAGGGAAACUUGAGCUAAUACCGUAUGUGCCCUACGGGGGAAAGAUUUAUCGGCAAAGGAUCGGCCCGCAUUGGAUUAGAUAGUUGGUGGGGUAAUGGCAUACCAAGGCGACGUUCCAUAGCUGGUAUGAGAGGAAGAUCAGCCACACUGGGACUGAGACACGGACCAGACUACGACGGGAGGCAGGAGUGGGGAAUAUUGGAAAAUGGGCGGAAGCCUGAUCAAGCCAUGCCGGGUGAGUGAUGAAGGUCUUAGGAUUGAAAAGCUCUUUCACCGGUGAAGAUAAUGACGGUAGCAGGAGAAGAAGCCCCGGCUAACUUCGUG
rnacentral:rRNA from 1 species